CUGGGAGGACCAUCUCCUAAGGCUAAAUACUCUCUAGUGACCGAUAGUGAACCAGUACCGUGAGGGAAAGGUGAAAAGCACCCCGGAAGGGGAGUGAAAUAGAACCUGAAACCGUGUGCUUACAAGUAGUCAGAGCCCGUUAAUGGGUGAUGGCGUGCCUUUUGUAGAAUGAACCGGCGAGUUACGAUUUGAUGCAAGGUUAAGCAGUAAAUGUGGAGCCGUAGCGAAAGCGAGUCUGAAUAGGGCGUUUAGUAUUUGGUCGUAGACCCGAAACCAGGUGAUCUACCCUUGGUCAGGUUGAAGUUCAGGUAACACUGAAUGGAGGACCGAACCGACUUACGUUGAAAAGUGAGCGGAUGAACUGAGGGUAGCGGAGAAAUUCCAAUCGAACCUGGAGAUAGCUGGUUCUCUCCGAAAUAGCUUUAGGGCUAGCCUCAAGUGAUGAUUAUUGGAGGUAGAGCACUGUUUGGACGAGGGGCCCCUCUCGGGUUACCGAAUUCAGACAAACUCCGAAUGCCAAUUAAUUUAACUUGGGAGUCAGAACAUGGGUGAUAAGGUCCGUGUUCGAAAGGGAAACAGCCCAGACCACCAGCUAAGGUCCCAAAAUAUAUGUUAAGUGGAAAAGGAUGUGGCGUUGCCCAGACAACUAGGAUGUUGGCUUAGAAGCAGCCAUCAUUUAAAGAGUGCGUAAUAGCUCACUAGUCGAGUGACACUGCGCCGAAAAUGUACCGGGGCUAAACAUAUUACCGAAGCUGUGGAUUGUCCUUUGGACAAUGGUAGGAGAGCGUUCUAAGGGCGUUGAAGCAUGAUCGUAAGGACAUGUGGAGCGCUUAGAAGUGAGAAUGCCGGUGUGAGUAGCGAAAGACGGGUGAGAAUCCCGUCCACCGAUUGACUAAGGUUUCCAGAGGAAGGCUCGUCCGCUCUGGGUUAGUCGGGUCCUAAGCUGAGGCCGACAGGCGUAGGCGAUGGAUAACAGGUUGAUAUUCCUGUACCACCUAUAAUCGUUUUAAUCGAUGGGGGGACGCAGUAGGAUAGGCGAAGCGUGCGAUUGGAUUGC
rnacentral:rRNA from 1 species